rnacentral:rRNA from 1 species
CGGUUGAUCCUGCCGGACCCCACCGCUAUCGGGAUGGGACUAAGACAUGCUAGUCGUGCGUCCCCAAGCCAUGGUGGGGACGCGGCACACAGCUCAGUAACACGUGGCUAACCUGCCCUUGGGACAGGGACAACCCCGGGAAACUGGGGCUAAUCCCUGAUAGGUGAGGAUUCCUGGAAUGGAUCCUCGCCGAAAGGGCGUCUAGACCAUGCUUCUAGGCGCCGCCCAAGGAUGGAGCCGCGGCCGAUCAGGUUGUUGGUGAGGUAACGGCUCACCAAACCUUUAACCGGUACGGGCCGUGAGAGCGGGAGCCCGGAGAUGGGUACUGAGACAAGGACCCAGGCCCUACGGGGCGCAGCAGUCGCGAAAACUCCGCAAUACGCGAAAGCGUGACGGGGCCAUCCCGAGUGCCGUCCGCUGAGGAUGGCUUUUCCCCAGUGUAUAAAGCUGGGGGAAUAAGGAGAGGGCAAGCCUGGUGUCAGCCGCCGCGGUAAUACCAGCUCUCCGAGUGGUGGGGAUGCUUAUUGGGCCUAAAGCAUUCGUAGCCGGUUGGGCAAGUCCCCCGCUAAAUCCAACGAUUCAAUCGUUGGACUGCGGGGGAUACUGUCCAACUAGGGGGCGGGAGAGGCCGACGGUAUUCUCGGGGUAGGGGUGAAAUCCUAUAAUCCCGGGAGGACCACCAGUGGCGAAGGCUGUCGGCUAGAACGCGCCCGACGGUGAGGGAUGAAAGCUGGGGGAGCGAACCGGAUUAGAUACCCGGGUAGUCCCAGCUGUAAACGAUGCAGGCUAGGUGUUGGAGCGGCUACGUGCCGCUCCAGUACCGCAGGGAAGCCGUUAAGCCUGCCGCCUGGGAAGUACGGCCGCAAGGCUGAAACUUAAAGGAAUUGGCGGGGGAGCAC